UACGUAGGGCGCAAGCGUUGUCCGGAAUUAUUGGGCGUAAAGAGCUCGUAGGCGGCCUGUUGCGUCCGCUGUGAAAUCCCGGGGCUCAACCCCGGGCCUGCAGUGGAUACGGGCUGGCUAGAGGCAGGCAGGGGAGAACGGAAUUCCUGGUGUAGCGGUGAAAUGCGCAGAUAUCAGGAGGAACACCGGUGGCAAAGGCGGUUCUCUGGGCCUGUACUGACGCUGAGGAGCGAAAGCGUGGGGAGCGAACAGG
rnacentral:rRNA from 1 species